AUUCACUUGCAUAUAUGGACCUACAGAGCUGAGAUAAUAAAAAAAAAAAAAACAAUUGUUUGUGUUCUGCUGAAGAAAGAAAGUCAUACACAUCUGGGAUGGCAUGAGGUUCCAGCACGACGAGCAUAAGCAUAACCUGAGGGUGGUAAACAGCUGGUGGGAUAUCUGUGUCGGCCAUUGCCAUGAAGACAGAUCGCGUUGAGGUUAUUCAAUGAAGGUCUGGCUGGAGGAAAGUCUGAUUCCAACAGAAUCGAACUCAGGACCUUUGCAUUGCUAGGGCAAUGCCCUACCAGUUGAACCAAGGGCCCAAGAAAAAUAUUAUGCAAAAAUAUGACAUUGAUAAGUAACAAGCUAUUGACAGCAUUCAAGUUAUUUAUAAUGUGUUUUUAAUCGAUCGUUUGAGCACUGAUACAUUUUAAAAAAGGAAUCUCUAAAUGUAUCAGUUGGAAAUAUCCAUAUUACAUGUGUUGUAUAUCUGAACGCAAUCUGGGAGUGCACAUGUGGACCUUCCAUGUUAAAUUGCUUAAUGCAGUGAAAUAUAUCCAAUUUAGGCUAUGGGGUUAAGCUGAGGGAAUUUACCUCUUCCUACACAUUAAGAAAACAAUAAAUAGAAUUAAAUAUAUUAAAUGAAGCACAUACCUCCCAAAGAAGUUAGC